rnacentral:rRNA from 1 species
UUACUUGGAUAACUGUGGUAAUUCUAGAGCUAAUACAUGCAAACAGAAUUCCAACCGGAGACGGAAGGAGUGCUUUUAUUAGAUCAAAACCAAUCGGUGGCGGGUUUCCCGUCAUCGUACAAUUUGGUGACUCUGAAUAACUUUAAGCUGAUCGCACGGUCUUGCACCGGCGACGCAUCUUUCAAAUGUCUGCCUUAUCAACUGUCGAUGGUAGGUUCUGCGCCUACCAUGGUUGUAACGGGUAACGGGGAAUCAGGGUUCGAUUCCGGAGAGGGAGCCUGAGAAACGGCUACCACAUCCAAGGAAGGCAGCAGGCGCGCAAAUUACCCACUCCCGGCACGGGGAGGUAGUGACGAAAAAUAACGAUACGGGACUCAUCCGAGGCCCCGUAAUCGGAAUGAGUACACUCUAAACCCUUUAACGAGGAUCAAUUGGAGGGCAAGUCUGGUGCCAGCAGCCGCGGUAAUUCCAGCUCCAAUAGCGUAUAUUAAAGUUGUUGCGGUUAAAAAGCUCGUAGUCGAAUUUGUGUUCCGCGCCGCCGGUUCAUCGUUCGCGGUGUCAACUGGCGUGCCGCGGGACGUCCUGCCGGUGGGCUUAGCCCGCAAGGGCGGCCCAACUCAAUCCCGCCGCGGUGCUCUUCACUGAGUGUCGAGGUGGGCCGGCACGUUUACUUUGAACAAAUUAGAGUGCUUAAAGCAGGCUAAAACUUCGCCUGAAUACUGUGUGCAUGGAAUAAUGGAAUAGGACCUCGGUUCUAUUUUGUUGGUUUUCGGAACCCCGAGGUAAUGAUUAAUAGG